AUUGAACGCUGGCGGCAGGCCUAACACAUGCAAGUCGAAUGGUAACAGGAAACAGCUUGCUGUUUCGCUGACGAGUGGCGGACGGGUGAGUAAUGUCUGGGAAACUGCCUGAUGGAGGGGGAUAACUACUGGAAACGGUAGCUAAUACCGCAUAACGUCGCAAAGACCAAAGAGGGGGGACCUUCGGGCCUCUUGCCAUCAGAUGUGCCAGAUGGGAUUAGCUAGUAGGUGGGGUAACGGCUCACCUAGGCGACGAUCCCUAGCUGGUCUGAGAGGAUGACCAGCCACACUGGAACUGAGACACGGUCCAGACUCCUACGGGAGGCAGCAGUGGGGAAUAUUGCACAAUGGGCGCAAGCCUGAUGCAGCCAAUGCCGCGUGUAUGAAGAAGGCC
rnacentral:rRNA from 1 species